AACGAACGCUGGCGGCAGGCUUAACACAUGCAAGUCGAACGCCCCGCAAGGGGAGUGGCAGACGGGUGAGUAACGCGUGGGAAUCUACCCAACUCUACGGAAUAACUCAGGGAAACUUGUGCUAAUACCGUAUACGCCCUUCGGGGGAAAGAUUUAUCGGAGUUGGAUGAGCCCGCGUUGGAUUAGCUAGUUGGUGGGGUAAAGGCCUACCAAGGCGACGAUCCAUAGCUGGUCUGAGAGGAUGAUCAGCCACAUUGGGACUGAGACACGGCCCAAACUCCUACGGGAGGCAGCAGUGGGGAAUGGUGGACAAUGGGCGCAAGCCUGAUCCAGCCAUGCCGCGUGAGUGAUGAAGGCCCUAGGGUUGUAAAGCUCUUUCACCGGUGAAGAUAAUGACGGUAACCGGAGAAGAAGCCCCGGCUAACUUCGUGCCAGCCGCCGCCGUAAAAC
rnacentral:rRNA from 1 species